UAUUAUAAUAUGAUGAAUGUGAAUAACAGUGUUGGGAUAUAAAACUGGAAUACAACUGGUCGGUCGCACAUCGAAGUUAGAGAAGGCGGACAUUCUGGAAAUGACAGUGGAGUUCGUGAAAUCACGAUUGAGCAAAUCUUCGGGCUCCAUGGUUAUUAACUCCCUGCAAUCAAGUGACACGUCAAUCAAGUGUGAUGCCACAUAUGUUGCCGGCUACUCCGAAUGCCUCUCCGAGAUCUCCCGGUUUCUAGAACAAACUCUAUCAAAUAAUACCACCUUAAAAGAAAAACUCGAACGUCAUAUGUGUGAUAAAUUAAAUUCGAAUAGUGUUACCAAUCUUUCGGAUGCACACGCUAAGAGCAAUAACGAAGAAUGUCACACAUCACAAGAACAUUCCGUGUCAUCUAACUGCGAUGAAGUGAAGGAUUUAAGGACAAAUGGAUCACAUGUAUCAAAUGAGAAAAACACAGGGGAGCUGAUAGGUUCAAACGGCUUGCCGACUCACACUAAAACCUCCAUUCAACAGUUUACUGCAAUAGGACAAGAUUUGCAGUAUGGGCAGCCUAUGGGGUGGCUUUAUGGGGAUCGGGUGGUGUUGAUACCACUUCCGUCUCCAUUUUUAGAGCAUAUAAAACAACCGCAAACCUUCAGACAAAUCCUACCCUUAUCUAACAACGCAUGUUUUCUAGGAAAUUCUCAAAGAAUAUCAACGUUUCAAACACAAAGUAACCUAUCUCCGAAAAUCGUGUGCUCGGAACGCGCCAAUGAGGUUUUGGCGUUUUCAACACCAAAUGCUCAACCUCAAGAUAUGAAUAACUUGGAAUUGACUCAAUAUGCGGUGGUGUGUUCAACCCCAAAAGGACCAUCUGACAGAACCACUACCCCACCACUUGCCCAAGGAUUAGCUUGUUCCACAAUUGCCCCAGCUUGUUUGACCUUGCAAUCUCACACUGCGCAUACAAUUGGCGCUGAUAGGAUAUCUUACUGGCGACCAUGGUGAUCAUAUUGUUUAUGCGUGUUUGUGUCUGAACAUUCUGUGAUAGGAUCUGAUAUGAAAUAUAUAUUGAUUUUGAUAUUUUGCUAUAAAGAAAAUAUUUUGAUGAAAACAUUUUGCUAUAAAGUGUUUUUUAAUUAAUAAAGCUUACCAGACCCAAUAUAUUGACACCGGUAAUACCAAACAUUUAUUAUAUAAAUAUAUUUCAUGUAGGCUUCAAAUGUUUUAGUUUUGGUUGAUCGCAUGCCUUUAUAUUGUUUUAUUAAAUAACUUAAAUCGUUGUGGAUACAGGAAACGUUGUGGAUACAGGGAAUGAACACAAUACGUAUAUACACGGCAACAACAACCGAGGCUAUAGUACAUAUCCGCUUGGAAGACUUUACAGAGAAGUUUGGUAACGAUUAUUUAAAGCCACAUACAAACUAAAAUAAACGAAUAUUUCGUAAAACAUAAAGUUGACCCACACACAAAAGCAAUAGUCAACAUUUCAACGCUAGAUGUGGUAUGGAAACACAUUAAACGAGAUAGACAAUUCUCGUUUUUAUUGUUUGUGUCACAAUUUAGUCCAUGUGAAUUUCCUCGACGAUAUGCGAACAUAAACGAGCAAACGCGAGAUUGGCUUCAGGCAGCACCGAAAGCACGACGUGGUUCUCGUAAGCUGCCGUAGCUAAACUCGCGUUUGCUCGUAAAUGUUCGGAUAUCGUCGCGCGAAACUCACAUGGAAAAUAUUUUGUCACACAAUAAAUAAAAACGAGCAUGUUGUAUCUCGUUUAAUCUAUGUUAAAUGACUGAAUGUAGCGUUGACAUUACUAUAAGGUAUACUCAUUUUUUGUAUGUUAACUAUUUCUUAAGAAAUAUUCGUUGAUUUCGAGUGUUAAUAGGGCUUUAUAUUUGAUACCAUUCGAUUGAUUGUUUGUAAACGAUCACAUGUUAAUCAGAUUGUUUUCUAUAAAGUGAACAAACCCCAAAGGCAAACACAUUAGAAGUAUAAAACCUGUGCAAUUUACAACACAUUAGCUAAGCACAUUUACAAUGAAUCGAACGAUUGAUCUUGCAAAACGAUUUGUUUGAAAUAUUACCUAUUCGCACCACCCAAUUUUAAUCAAUAGUUAUUUUUCGCAAAUGAUCAUGUUUAAAAAAAACUUAUUUAGACAAAUGAAGGUCUUUAUAGUAAAUGUUUGCUUUAUAAUAAUUGUGAAUAAAAACAUAACCAUAAUGUUGCUAUAAUGUUAAUUCUACAAAUUGUCUAUGUCGUUGCUUUAUUUUGCUCGUUAAUAAUUAAUAUUAUUUUUAAUAGUCUUGUAACUAUAGAUACGUUUUAAUGCUUUAAUUUGGUUGGUAAGGUGGCAUAUCAAACAUUUUUACAGACAAACAUUUCAUUGAUUUUCAUUUAUUUACGAUGAAAAUAAAGGGCACUUGUAAAAUUAGCUUUGAUAUGUCCAUCCAUGAAAUGAUAUAUUCGAUCUUACACUAACAUUAACAAAGAUCAUCGGUAUUUCUUUGAUAAUCUCCACGCAUUCACCGUACAUCAUGAUAAUGUGAACGCCGUUCAAGUGUUAUAUGAGUUUUGACAUUAUUUUCUGUUGACAAACUACGAUUGUUUGCAUUCUAAUGUUAAAAUGAAUAUCAUAGCUAAGAUAUUGACGGAUAUAAAAUUGAUAAAGCGAACUUUAUUUCGAUUCUAGCAUAACCAGACUAUAUACAUUCUGCACUUGCAAUCAAAUUUGACAAAUUAUAUUUGAUAUUGUAUAAACCUUUGUUUCCAUAUGUUGAUUUUUAAUACAACUGUCAUUUCGAAAUGUUGCA